CAGGGUCAUACUAAUUGUAAAUAUGUCCGGUCAGGGUCUUACUCAUUGGAAUAUGUCCGACCCAGGGUCGUACUAAAGAUGGCUGCUGUAAUUGAGGGUCAUACUAAUUCGGAAUUGUCUUAAAGCUAAUUUGAAUACGUCCGACCUAGGGUCAUACUAAUUGGAAUAUGUUCGACCCAGGGUCGUACUUAUUUGAAUUGUCUUAAAGUUAGAUAGAUUUGUCUUAAUUCAGGGUCGUACUAAUUCGAUUUAGUAUCAUACAAAUUGAAAUUGUCAGACCCUGGGUCGUACUAAAUGAAAGAGUUCUAAGCUAAUUCUCAACCAGGGUCAUACUAAUUGGAAUAUGUCCGACCCUGGGUCAUACUAAAUCGAAUUGUCUUAAAGCUAAAUCGGCAUUUUUGACCCUCACGGGUCGUCAUACGUCACAGCCUGCUGCUUAUACAGAGGUUAGGGCUGAGCUGUGAUGCUAAUGACAGUGGAUAAUCCAUUCUGAGUUGUUCUAGGACCAUUCACCAACGUUUCAAAACACUGAUGGAACUGAAUGCAGUACAUGUACUGGUGUCUGGCCUGUGAUUUCAAGUAUAAUUGAUGUAUCUCCUCCUGAUGUAUCUCCUUAAAUACAAUAUAUCUGCCAUGUGAAAGGAAGAAACUGCAAGAUAUACUGUGGAAGUGGGGGCCUAUGUAAAAAACAUUUAAUUUAAAGAAUAUAAGGAGUCUGACACUAAACUAUACUGAAAAGGUGCACAGUGAACAUUUUUGUGUGUAUAGACUUUCAUCAUGAUUCUGAGAAAGUUGAUUUAUUAAACGAAAACUAUCAUAUAUUUUUGUCUUCAAAGCUGAAAAUAUUAAGAUCUUAGGAAAACAUUAGGACUGUAGAAAAGUAAAUGGGUUAUGAAACUGUAGUGUUCAACAUUUAAAUUGAAUGUGUUCUUUUACUACAUUUUGUGAAGAGGGUUCCAUCACAAGAUGUGCUAUAUCGGUAAG